GUCGAGGGGAAACGACAUCGAAAGCUUGCUUUUGAUGGGCGUCGACCGGCGCACGGGUGAGUAACGCGUAUCCAACCUGCCCACCACUUGGGGAUAACCUUGCGAAAGUAAGACUAAUACCCAAUGAUAUCCCACGAAGGCAUCCGAAUGGGAUUAAAGAUUUAUCGGUGAUGGAUGGGGAUGCGUCUGAUUAGCUUGUUGGCGGGGUAACGGCCCACCAAGGCUACGAUCAGUAGGGGUUCUGAGAGGAAGGUCCCCCACAUUGGAACUGAGACACGGUCCAAACUCCUACGGGAGGCAGCAGUGAGGAAUAUUGGUCAAUGGGCGAGAGCCUGAACCAGCCAAGUAGCGUGCAGGAUGACGGCCCUAUGGGUUGUAAACUGCUUUUAUAAGGGAAUAAAGUGAGUCUCGUGAGACUUUUUGCAUGUACCUUAUGAAUAAGGACCGGCUAAUUCCGUGCCAGCAGCCGCGGUAAUACGGAAGGUCCGGGCGUUAUCCGGAUUUAUUGGGUUUAAAGGGAGCGUAGGCCGGAGAUUAAGCGUGUUGUGAAAUGUAGUGGCUCAACCUCUGCACUGCAGCGCGAACUGGUCUUCUUGAGUACGCACAACGUGGGCGGAAUUCGUGGUGUAGCGGUGAAAUGCUUAGAUAUCACGAAGAACUCCGAUUGCGAAGGCAGCUCACGGGAGCGCAACUGACGCUGAAGCUCGAAAGUGCGGGUAUCGAACAGGAUUAGAUACCCUGGUAGUCCGCGCGGUAAACGAUGGAUGCCCGCUGUUGGCCUGAAUAGGUCAGCGGCCAAGCGAAAGCAUUAAGCAUCCCACCUGGGGAGUACGCCGGCAACGGUGCAACUCAAAGGAAUUGACGGA
rnacentral:rRNA from 1 species